AGCAGCCGCGGUAAUUCCAGCUCCAAUAGCGUAUAUUAAAGUUGUUGCAGUUAAAAAGCUCGUAGUUGAAUUUCGGGAUCAAUAUAUCGGUCGUGCCUCCGGUAUGCACUGGUAUUAUUGAUUUCUACCUUCUGACGAAUCAUGAUGUCAUUAAUUUGGUGUCAUGGGGAAUCAGGACUGUUACUUUGAAAAAUUAGAGUGUUUAAAGCAGGCACACGCUUGAAUACAUUAGCAUGGAAUAAUGAAAUAGGACGUUUGACCCUAUUUUGUUGGUUUCUAGGAUCGACGUAAUGAUUAAUAGGGAUAGUUGGGGGCAUUUAGUAUUCAAUUGUCAGAGGUGAAAUUCUUGGAUUUAUUGAAGACUAACUACUGCGAAAGCAUUUGCCAAGGAUGUUUUCGUUAAUCAAGAACGAAAGUUAGGGGAUCGAAGACGAUCAGAUACCGUCGUAGUCUUAACCAUAAACUAUGCCGACUAGGGAUCGGAUGAUGUUAAUUUUUAAUGACUUCAUUCGGACG
rnacentral:rRNA from 1 species